CUUACCAAAAAAGACGGAUUAAGAAGGGAUUUAGUUCUCCGUACGGAUUCCUUCUCCUUGACGCGCCUACGCGCCACUUCCACCUCCACGGCAUAACUUGCCAGCUCACCUUUCGCCCCGUCCACCGCCUCAUAUUUCUCUAAUUCACUUUCACGCCGGCGCUGGUUCUUGCAGGUCAUCCGCUUCCGUGGUGGCCGCUAGCACCGCCAAUUCCGUUUCGGUUCCUAACCUUAUCCAUUCACUUUUUCUUGCUUUCCUUUAUUGUUUGUUUCGUGAGAAUUCUUUUGCUAAUUUCACUUCUACGAAUUACCGAGCAAUUUCUAAAAUUUUAAAAUUUGUAUCUGUUUCUUGUUAAUGUUUCGAUGCGUAUUUGUUGUCAACUUAACCGAACGUAGUAAUACCAAUUCCAGAAACUGCUUUAGAAGCAAAACAUGUUAGGGAGAGUUACCUUUUACGCGCGUGAAAUUUCGCAGUCUGAUUCAUUUAUAUCUGAAUUUUCGCUUGUUAAGGUUUCAAAAUCUCCACUGCCCUUGAUUUGCUAUAGUAAGCUACAAGCUCUCCGGUG
rnacentral:lncRNA from 1 species